UACGAAGGGGCUAGCGUUGCUCGGAAUCACUGGGCGUAAAGGGUGCGUAGGCGGGUCUUUAAGUCAGGGUGAAAUCCUGGAGCUCAACUCCAGAACUGCCUUUGAUACUGAAGAUCUUGAGUUCGGGAGAGGUGAGUGGAACUGCGAGUGUAGAGGUGAAAUUCGUAGAUAUUACGCAAGAACACCAGUGGCGAAGGCGGAGC
rnacentral:rRNA from 1 species